rnacentral:tRNA from 1 species
UUAAGCGUGAGGUCGGUGGUUCAAGUCCACUUAGGCCCAUUGGAUGGGGCCUUAGCUCAGCUGGGAGAGCGCCUGCUUUGCAAGCAGGAGGUCAUCGGUUCGAUCCCGAUAGGCUCCACCAUAUCAAGGUAAGAGGUUUCAACGUAGUUGCUUUGCGUCUGCGUCUACAAGCGGAUUCGGAGAAGCUGAAUUCCUCGACGCAAACCAGCGAAGAAGCAGGUUCAAGGCAGCAACUUUGCAUCUGCGUCUUCUAGCAGAUUCGAGGAAGUGGGAUUCCUCGAUGCAAGACUGCAGAGAAGCAAAUUCAAGAAGCAGUCUCGUUCCUUGAAAACUAGA